rnacentral:rRNA from 1 species
GAACCCUUGAGGAGUCGUUGGUAAUCCAGAACACUGAACCUAGAUCAUAUGGUAAACCUGCACUUAUACUUAUAACAAACAGGAGACAUCUGUAGUCCUCUCGCGGUAAUUGCUAUGAGCAUAUCUACUCACCUACGGUCAUCCCAAAACCAAAAUUCUAGUUCUUUUUUGAAGUCAAUCUGUGUCACAGACUACAAGUUCAGAAGAUGGUAAUCCAAAAAUAUCAGGACAUUCAUUGCUGGGAGGAAACAUUCUUAUCAGAACAGUCAUAUACUACAACUCAUAUUUAAUCGGAGAUGCUCAUACCUCUGCUCCCCCAAGUACGCAGCAACGGCACCUAGACAACACUGUAAUCGGCCGUCGGCGUAGGGGACCAAGGGAAACAGGCCCUCCCGGGUGCGGCGUGCGUCGCUAGGAGGAGGCAGCAGGAGGGGGACGGCCGGGCCCGUGCUAGGCGCGGCGCGCGUCGCCGGGAGCAGGCAACUGGAGGAGGCGGCCGGGGGUGUACUUGGCGUGGCGCAGGAAGGCGGCUGGAGGAGCGCGACGGCCGAGCGCAUAGCCGGGAGGAGGAGCGCGGUGGCCCUUCCCCAUCGGGGCGGCGGCGGCUGGGCGACCCCUGCUCCAGCUCAUAGAAAGAGGAGGGAGGAGGCGGUGGCGCUGCUGGUCUAGCUCCCCGGCUUGAUCUGCUCUCCAGGCUUGUCCGGUCCGCCGCUCACCUCGACCUCCCGUGCUCCUGCUUCACGGGAUUUGGUGGACGAGGAAAAGAGGAUAAGGGAAGGCUUUUUUUCUCCGAG